GAGUCUGAUACAUUGGAAUAGCGAAAGGGAAAACAACAGUCCAAUAAUGAUACAAACAUUCAAAAAUAAUGUGGAAAGCUUUGAAAUCUGUUCCGUGGAAAAUUCCAUGUGACGAAUCUGUGGCCGUCCAACAUCUGUUGGAAUCUCAGGUAAAACUAUUUGCGUGCACACGCAUAUCCCCAGAUAACAUGAUCCCCGGUUGAUCCAUAACAGCGGAAAUGCACCACGAGCUUGUUUGCUAACCAUAAAAGAAGAAGAAGACGACGACGACGACGACGAAGAAGAAGAAGGAUACUAAUUACAAUAAGCUACGAAUAAUCUAAAGGAAUGUCGGCCAAUCAGGAAGCACAAUCAGAUGAGCUUCUGGCUCUAGCAAGUAUAUAUGAUGAAGAGGAGUUUUGCAAGACGGAAUCAGUGCAGAAGGGCGAGAUCCGUCUGUGCCUUGAGCUUCCACCUAACUUCAGACUGCUAGUUAAGGGACAAGUAUGCAUAGAGUGUGGUAUAUCCUUUCUACCCCCCUUGGUUCUGAGUUUUGAACUACCUACAGACUAUCCUUCAUCAUCAGCUCCAGUUUUUACUCUAAGCUCCAAAUGGCUUUCAAGAGUCCAGAUGACUGCGCUUUGCAAGAGACUGGAUGAACUUUGGGAAGAGAACAGGGGAAAUGUGGUUCUUUUUAUCUGGAUCCAGUUCCUGAAGGAAGAAACUCUGAAAUUUUUGAACAUCAAGUCUUCCCUUAAGAUCCAAAAUAUUAGUGGUCAGCCUCAAUGUAAAUCUGGUCAGAACCAAGCAGUAGACACUGCUGUAGAAAAAAGUAAAGUGCAAGAGUUGGACAAACGAGCAGUACAAGAAGUUGACCCUCACACAGAUAUAUUAACCCAGCUGUUGGAUUUUAAUGAAAUUCAAAAGCAGAAGGUUUUUGAUGGCAAGGUUUUUAGCUGUGGAAUCUGCUUCUCUGAGAAUCUGGGUUCCAAGUCUUUGCUCUUCAAAGAGUGUCAGCAUGUCUACUGCAAGACUUGCAUGAAGGAAUACUUUCAGUUCCAAAUUAGAGAUGGUAAAGUCCAGUGCCUUACCUGCCCUAAGCCAGAGUGUAUGUCUAUGGCCACUCCUACACAGGUGAAACUUCUUGUGAGCCAAGAUGAAUUUGCUCGCUAUGACCACCUCCUUCUGCAGUGGAGUCUGAACCUAAUGGCAGAUGUUGUUUACUGUCCACGCAUAAGUUGCUGCAUGGCUGUAAUGAUCGAGCCUGACACCACCAUCGGCAUUUGCCCCUCAUGCCAAUUCGUCUUCUGCACCCUUUGCAAGCGAACAUACCAUGGCCUCUCUCUCUGCAAAGAACAUGAGCUUCGCAUGUUGAAAGAUGCUGCAGAAAAAGAGGAGAAUGAACUACUCGAAAUACAACGGGAAGAAAAUGAAAAGCUGCUGAUCCAAAGAGCAACGGAGGAGUUAUUAAGCGAAGAUUGGCUGAAGGAAAACUGUAAAAGGUGCCCUUCCUGUGGUGCUAACAUACAGGUCGGAUGGAGGAUGACGGCUGAUGGAUGACGGCAGUUCUUGCUAUAUGAACUCGGUAACAAACCCAAGGAUACGGGCUUCAGCUUUGUUGUGCCAGCCAUGGUAAAUACAGGAACAUUCUUCAUGAAAAUAUGCGAGAGAAGCUUACAAGGCAAGAUGAGAAAAAAAUAAAGCCUAGUGUCAGUGAAGAUAGUGUGGCCAGGAAUUCUGGUGUUUGUGGGAAAUGUGAAGGAACAUCUUCCAGCAUUCUACUACGAUGUUGCCCUGAUGAUUGAGAGUAUUGGAUUACCUCCUGCCUCCUGGAUUAUGUUCGCCGUUCAUCACCCCUCGCCUGCUUUACGGACUACUCUCACGUCUUGCCUUCGCUGCACCUGUCUGCUAUUAUUCAACCCUGCCUGUCUGUGACCAUCUCUUUAUCUUUGUCCGAAUCUAAUAAAAGCUUGCAUUUGGAUCUGCUCGCUUCACGUCUCCCUCACUAUGUUACAGAAUACUCGGUCACAAAAGGGUUUAGCAUAUUUUCCGACGGAUACUGGUCAGGUAUGGACACAACAAAAAUACUUUUCAGACUAAAACAAGGCCCACAAACACUUGAGCAACAUGUUUGUGAAUUUCUGGCCAUUGCAAACUAUUCCGAUCUUCCGGACUGUAUUUUAAUAGAGAUUUUCUAUUUUUGGUGUAAAUUAACCGUUAAAGGCAAGACUUAGACGCAAGGGUCAGCAUUCAUCUCUCCCCCAAUUCAUGGAUUAUGCUUUAGCGACUGUUGGCUCUUUAUUCACCGUGGGUGUCGCGGAGGAAGAACGCAACAUCGCGACCAUGCCGGUAAUGGCGGCCGCAACGUUAAGUCAGCCAGGAACCCCGGGACACUCUAGCAUUGUGAUCGCUACUCCGGUGUUGAAACCCGCUCAUGAAAUGGCAGCCGCACCGGAGUGCGCUCACGUAAUGCCGGCGACAGCGGAGCCCAUUCACAAAAUGGCGGCGAAGGCAAAGCUCCGUCAUCUCACUGCUGCCAAACCAGUGUCAUGUAAUUUCACCGCUGUUGUUCCCCAGUCAAGUCAAGUUACGGCUGUGAUUCCCGAGUUCAGGCAAGUUAAAGCUGUGGUUCCCGAGUCCAGUCAAGUUAAAGCUGUGGUUCCUGAGUCCAGUCAAGCUAUGGCUGUCAUUCCUGAGUCAAGCAAAGUCAAAUCUGUCGUUCCUGAGUCAAGUAAAGUCAAAGCUGUUGUUCCUGAGCCAAGUCAAGUCACAGCUGAUCUCCAUGAGCCAAGUCAGGUCACAGCCGAUCUCCACGAGCCAAGUCACAGCUAAUCUCCAGAAGCCAAGUCACAGCCGAUCUCCAUGAGCCAAGUCAAGUCAUAGCUGAUCUUCAUGAGCCAAGUCAAGUCACAGUUGAUCUCCAUGAGCCAAGACAAGUCACAGCUGAUCUCCAUGAGCCAAGUCAAUCACAGUUGAUCUCCAUGAGCCAAGUCAAGUCACAGCUGAUCUCCAGGAGCCAAGUCACAGCUGAUCUCCAUGAGCCAAGUCAAGUCACAGUUGAUCUCCAUGAGCCAAGUCAAGUCACAGCUGAUCUCCAGGAGCCAAGUCGCAGCCGAUCUCCAUGAGCCACGUCAAGUCACAGCAGAUCUUCAUGAGCCAAGUCAGGUAGCAGCUGAUCUUUAUGAGCCAAGUCAAGUUACAGUUGAUCAAGUUAUUGCUGUUGUUCCUGGGUCAAGUCACAUCACAGCUGGUCGUCCAGAGUCAAGUCACGUCUCGUCUGUCCGCCCAGAGCCUCGUCAUGUCUCGUCUGUCCGCCCAGAGCCUCGUCACAUCUCGUCUGACUUCCCAGAGCCUCGUCACGUCUCGUCUGACCUCCCAGAGCCUCGUCACAUCUCGUCUGACACCCAAAGGUCACGACCUAUCAUGAUGGCCAGCGUGUUGGAUCCACCACUAGUGUCUGUGCGGGCUGCAAGCAUUCCAGUGGCUUCAGUGCCUUUAAACCCAACAAUUAAAGAGGUCCUGCCACCCGCUGCUGCUCUUCCCCCAAUGGCGUUAGCCAUUUGGUGUGUGUGUGGGCUGCACACUGUGCUUCAGAGGCCUCGUCUGCCCACAAAUCUGCUCCAGAGGUCUCGUCUGUCCACAAGUCUGCUCCAGAGGUCUCGUCUAUCCACAAGUCUGCUUCUGAGGCCUCGUCUGACCAUGAACAAAUGGAGAGAAUCCAUGCAUAUCCUGUAAAGCUGCUUUCUCAUGCAGAGAAGGUUGGUUUAUGCAAUGUUAAAAGGAAAGCUGACCAAAAUUAAAAAUGUUUCUCAUGCAUAAAAUAAAAUUUUAUUUGCAAUGCAGAAAGACACUUCUUAGAUAUUUUAAGCACAUUACUUCAGUGCAGUGCACGGUUAGUUUAGAGCUUUAUAACACAGUGUUAGUGUUCACAGAGGCUCUAAACUAAGCAUUUUCUGCAUUGAAGCUCUAACAUAAUUUGAUAUAUAUAUAAAAGUUCUAACCCAGUGUCUUUCUGCAUUACAGAUAAGAUUUAUUUCAUGCAUAUGAACAGGAGGUGGGGUCGUCAGGGGGUUAGGAAAAAGGCACACAGUGUAAACAGUGUAAAAAGUAGAUACAGAGAAAAAAAUAUAGCUGCAAGCAGCAAUUGCAGGGCCAAGCACAAAAGAGGCAGAA